rnacentral:rRNA from 1 species
UACGUAGGGGGCAAGCGUUGUCCGGAAUCAUUGGGCGUAAAGCGCGCGUAGGCGGCCUGAUCAGUCCGCUGUAAAAGUCCAGGGCUCAACCCUGGAAAGCCGGUGGAUACUGUCGGGCUAGAGUCCGGAAGAGGCGAGUGGAAUUCCCGGUGUAGCGGUGGAAUGCGCAGAUAUCAGGAGGAACACCGAUAGCGAAGGCAGCUCGCUGGGACGGUACUGACGCUGAGGUGCGAAAGCGUGGGGAGCGAACAGG